rnacentral:rRNA from 1 species
CCUACGGGGGGCAGCAGUCGAGAAUUUUUCUCAAUGGGGGAAACCCUGAAGGAGCGACGCCGCGUGGGGGAUGACUGGCUUCGGCCCGUAAACCCCUGUCAUUUGCGAACAAACCUUUUCCGAUAACACCGGAAGAGCUGAUUGUAGCGAAAGAGGAAGGGACGGCUAACUCUGUGCCAGCAGCCGCGGUAAUACAGAGGUCCCAAGCGUUGUUCGGAUUCACUGGGCGUAAAGGGUGCGUAGGCGGUCGGGUAAGUCUGAUGUGAAAUCUCCGAGCUCAACUCGGAAAUGGCAUUGGAUACUAUUCGGCUAGAGAGUCGGAGGGGGGACUGGAAUACUUGGUGUAGCAGUGAAAUGCGUAGAUAUCAAGUGGAACACCAGUGGCGAAGGCGAGUCCCUGGACGACUUCUGACGCUGAGGCACGAAAGCUAGGGGAGCAA